AUCUGCCCUUUCCCUCCGUCCAUUUAUUUUUAGCGCGCCUCUUCCUUUCGUCUUGUCUGUCUUCUUUGUUCUCACUAGCAAUCUUCAGUACGCGGGAAACUAGCCCUAGCGGAGAACCCCGGAGGAGGCAUCGCGACAGCCAAAAAUGCCGAAGUCCAUGUGCAAUAAAAUAGUGAACAAGAGAAGCUCAAAUCUUCUUAUUGUGAAAACAUAUCGAAAUGAUGGCAUCGAGUUUCUGAAAGGUCACGGCUUCUAAGUAGACGGGCAGCAAGUCCACUAUUUAGGUAACAUCUCAUAUGAAAUAAUGUUCUCCGGCGGAG